UACAGAGGGUGCGAGCGUUGUUCGGAAUUAUUGGGCGUAAAGGGCGCGUAGGCGGUGCGGUAAGUCACCUGUGAAAUCUCCUGGCUCAACUGGGAGCUUGCAGGCGAAACUGCCGUGCUGGAGUGUGGGAGAGGUGCGUGGAAUUCCUGGUGUAGCGGUGAAAUGCGCAGAUAUCAGGAGGAACACCAAUGGCGAAGGCAGCUCGCUGGGACGUGACUGACGCUGAGACGCGAAAGCGUGGGUAGCAAACAGG
rnacentral:rRNA from 1 species